GACGACGCUGGCGGCGUGGAUUAGGCAUGCAAGUCGAACGGUAGGAUACCUUCGGGUAUCUGAGAGUGGCGAACGGGUGAGUAACACGUAGGUGAUCUACCCUCAAGAUUGGGACAACCCAGGGAAACUUGGGCUAAUACCGGAUGAAAGCAGCAGUGAUGUUGUUUGAAAGGUGGCGUAAGCUGCCGUUUGGGGAUGAGCCUGCGCUCUAUUAGUUAGUUGGCGGGGUAAAGGCCCACCAAGGCGAUGAUAGAUAGGCGGCCUUAACGGGUGGUCGCCCACACUGGGAUUGAGAUACGGCCCAGACUCCUACGGGAGGCAGCAGUCGAGAAUAGUCUACAAUGGCCGAAAGGCUGAUAGUGCGACGCCGCGUGAACGAAGAAGCCCUUCGGGGUGUAAAGUUCUUUUAUAUGUGAGCAGUGCUUUCUAUGUGAACAGCAUGGGGAGAGAGAUAUUAGCAUAUGAAUAAGCAACGGCUAACUCCGUG
rnacentral:rRNA from 1 species